GACGAACGCUGGCGGCGUGCUUAACACAUGCCAGUCGAACGAAGUGGCGAACGGGUGAGUAACGCGUAAUCACCCUGCCCUUCAGAGGGGGACAACAGUUGGAAACGACUGCUAAUACCGCAUACUGAAGGAGGGCCUUGCGUCUGAUUAGCUAGUUGGAGGGGUAACGGCCCACCAAGGCGAUGAUCAGUAGCGGGUGUUGGAGGAGUAAGGGGCACAUUGGGACUGGGACACGGCCCAGACUCCUACGGGAGGCAGCAGUGGGGAAUCUUCCGGAAUGGACGAAAGUCUGACGGAGCAAAGCCGGGUGAGUGAUGACGGCCUUCGGGUUGUAAAGCUCUGUUAAUCGGGACGCGGUACCGGAAUAGAAAGCCACGGCUAACUACGUGCCAGCAGCCGCGGUAAUUC
rnacentral:rRNA from 1 species